rnacentral:rRNA from 1 species
UUCCCGGUGUAGCGGUGAAAUGCGUAGAUAUCGGGAAGAACACCAGUGGCGAAGGCGNUCUGCUGGGCCAUCACUGACGNUCAUGGACGAAAGCCAGGGGAGCGAAAGGGAUUAGAUACCCCUGUAGUCCUGGCCGUAAACGAUGAACACUAGGUGUCGGGGGAAUCGACCCCCUCGGUGUCGUAGCCAACGCGUUAAGUGUUCCGCCUGGGGAGUACGCACGCAAGUGUGAAACUCAAAGGAAUUGACGGGGGCCCGCACAAGCGGUGGAGUAUGUGGUUUAAUUCGAUGCAACGCGAAGAACCUUACCAGGGUUUGACAUCCUGCGAAUCUCUUGGAAACGAGAGAGUGCCUUCGGGAACGCAGUGACAGGUGGUGCAUGGCUGUCGUCAGCUCGUGUCGUGAGAUGUUGGGUUAAGUCCCGCAACGAGCGCAACCCACGUCUUUAGUUGCCAGCAUUUAGUUGGGCACUCUAGAGAGACCGCCGGUGAUAAACCGGAGGAAGGUGUGGAUGACGUCAAGUCAUCAUGCCCCUUACAUCCUGGGCUACACACGUACUACAAUGCUACGGACAAAGGGCAGCAAGUUCGCGAGGACAAGCAAAUCCCAUAAACCGUGGCUCAGUUCAGAUCGUAGGCUGCAACUCGCCUACGUGAAGGAGGAAUCGCUAGUAAUCGCAGGUCAGCAUACUGCGGUGAAUACGUUCCCGGGCCUUGUACACACCGCCCGUCACACCAUGGAAGUUGGCCACGCCCGAAGCCGUUACUCCAACCCUUGUGGAGGAGGACGUCGAAGGUGGGGCUGAUGACUGGGGUGAAGUCGUAACAAGGUAGCC